CCAAACCUAUGAAUUUUGAUUAGAUAGAUAGAUUAUCCAUGACGAGAAGACUAUCCCUAAAUCCUUUAUUUCUCUCGUGAUCCAUGUAUGAUGUAUCUUUUGCCUUUAAUAAAAUAAUUUUUAGUGAUUUAGUUUAAAACGUUUUGGUUUUUAUUUACUUUCAAUAUCUCAAGCAGCCAAAAUGGAAUAGUAAACGCCUCGCACAGUCAAAUCAACGUAUA
rnacentral:lncRNA from 1 species